GUAGGUGGCAAGCGUUGUCCGGAAUUAUUGGGCGUAAAGCGCGCGCAGGCGGUUCUUUAAGUCUGAUGUGAAAGCCCACGGGCUCAACCGUGGAGGGUCAUUGGAAACUGGAGAACUUGAGUACAGAAGAGGAAAGCGGAACUCCACGUGUAGCGGUGAAAUGCGUAGAGAUGUGGAGGAACACCAGUGGCGAAGGCGGCUUUCUGGUCUGUAACUGACGCUGAGGCGCAAAAGCGUGGGGAGCAAACAGGAUUAGAUACCCUGGUAGUCCACGCCGUAAACGAUGAGUGCUAAGUGUUAGGGGGUUUCCGCCCCUUAGUGCUGCAGCUAACGCAUUAAGCACUCCGCCUGGGGAGUACGGCCGCAAAGGCUG
rnacentral:rRNA from 1 species